GACGAACGCUGGCGGCGUGCUUAACACAUGCAAGUCGAACGGAAAGGCCUCUUUCGGGGGGUACUCGAGUGGCGAACGGGUGAGUAACACGUGAGUAACCUGCCCUUGACUUUGGGAUAACUUCAGGAAACUGGGGCUAAUACCGGAUAGGAGCUCCUGCUGCAUGGUGGGGGUUGGAAAGUUUCGGCGGUUGGGGAUGGACUCGCGGCUUAUCAGCUUGUUGGUGGGGUAGUGGCUUACCAAGGCUUUGACGGGUAGCCGGCCUUAGAGGGUGACCGGCCACAUUGGGACUGAGAUACGGCCCAGACUCCUACGGGAGGCAGCAGUGGGGAAUAUUGCACAAUGGGUGGAAGCCUGAUGCAGCAACGCCGUGUGCAGGAUGACGGCCUUCGGGGUGUAAACCGCUUUCGCUCAUGACGAAGCUUUGUGUGACGGUAGUGGGUAAAGAAGCACCGGCUAACUACGUG
rnacentral:rRNA from 1 species